UGCAGGAUGGUCUUGGUGAGGGAGGAGGAUGGUCUAGGUGAGGGAGUGGAGGAUGGUCUAGGUGAGGGAGUGGAGGAUGGUCUAAGUGAGGGAGUGGAGGAAGGAACAGGACCCUACUGCUCCACAGUCAGUGUGAUGGCCUGGUCUCCUUCCACAGUCAGUGUGAUGGCCUGGUCUCCUUCCACAGUCAGUGUGAUGGCCUGUUCUCCUUCCACAGGGCUUAUUGAAGAACAGGACCCUACUGCUCCACAGUCAGUGUGAUGGCCUGUUCUCCUUCCACAGGGCUUAUUGAGGAACAGGACCCUACUGCUCCACAGUCAGUGUGAUGGCCUGUUCUCCUUCCACAGGGCUUAUUGAGGAACAGGACCCUACUGCUCCACAGUCAGUGUGAUGGCCUGUUCUCC
ensembl:lncRNA